UGAGGUGAUAUUUGCCGUUUCUUUGGUC
rnacentral:piRNA from 1 species